UCGAACGCGAUUCGUUCCUUCGGGGGCGAGUUGGGUGGCGCACGGGUGAGUAACACGUAGGUAAUCUACCUUUGGGUGGGGAAUAACAGUCGGAAACGGCUGCUAAUACCGCAUAAUGCAGCGGCAUCAGAUGAUGACAGUUGUUAAAGCGGGGGAUCGAAAGACCUCGCGCCAGAAGAGGAGCCUGCGGCAGAUUAGCUAGUUGGCAGGGUAACGGCCUACCAAGGCGACGAUCUGUAGCCGGCCUGAGAGGGCGGUCGGCCACACUGACACUGACAUACGGGUCAGACUCCUACGGGAGGCAGCAGUCGGGAAUUUUGGGCAAUGGGCGAAAGCCUGACCCAGCAACGCCGCGUGAAGGAUGAAAUCUUUCGGGAUGUAAACUUCGCAAGAAUGGGAAGAAUAAGCGGAGGUUAAUACCCUCUGUGAUGACGGUACUAUUUGUAAGCUCCGGCUAACUCCGUGCCAGCAGCCGCGGUAAUACGGGGGGAGCAAGCGUUGUUCGGAUUUACUGGGCGUAAAGGGCGCGUAGGCGGCGCAACAAGUCACUUGUGAAAUCUCCGGGCUUAACUCGGAACGGUCAAGUGAUACUGUUGUGCUAGAGUGCGGAAGGGGCAACUGGAAUUCUCGGUGUAGCGGUGAAAUGCGUAGAUAUCGAGAGGAACACCUGCGGCGAAGGCGGGUUGCUGGGCCGACACUGACGCUGAUGCGCGAAAGCCAGGGGAGCGAACGGGAUUAGAUACCCCGGUAGUCCUGGCCUUA
rnacentral:rRNA from 1 species